ensembl:lncRNA
CUUUUACGUGUGACACAUAUGAUUUGGUUUAUCCAUGUAUUAUAAAGUUGUUCAAGACGCACAUCCAGCCUUAAGAAAGGCAUAACGUCAUACAAGGACUGAAAAGUGACGUUUGCAACGGUAAACUCUUUUUGUUUGAAGGAACAUUUUUCUUUUUGACCAUUUUUGUGUUUGUGACGAAGCGGACUCAUUCCCUCUUUGCGUAAAUGCGGCCAGCGAGGUGGAAGCUGAAUUAGUGAGGAUGACUCCUGCUCCUGUCAUCUCUAAACUCCUCACACAUCUUUACCUGCACAUGAGGAAGAUCACUCCUGUAGAAUGCAGAUGUUCAGAGGGAGAUGAUACCACAUCUGGUCCAGCUGAUGGAAGGUCUUGAAGUUCUCUGACUGGCCUCGACUGAAGAUGGUCGUCUCACUGGAUUUAAGGUUCAGAUGCUCAGUAACAAACUCCACCAAUGUGCCAACAGGGAAGCUUUAGGUUUAUUAAAUGUUGCUAUGAAGGUUUUGCUGUUUUUCUUUGUGAAUGCAAUGUGCUCCAACUGAAACUUGAAUUAGAACUUAGAAGUAAAUCCUUCCAUCUGAAACGAUUUAGUUGCAUUAAUAACCUCAUAACAUUCUAAUUUUUAUUCCAGUCUUGGUUGGAAAUAGAAUCUCUGUAUUGAUUCAGGUAAAAACUGAACUUCACAGCAUGUUGGAGCAAAACAACCAGAUGAAAACUGUGAUGAUGUUGGAUUGUCAGACUGUAAUGUUGCAGCUCAAAGCAGCUUUUCUAUCUCAGUUCAUUCUGACAUUCAGCUAUGAAUCAACACAGCGGAUGGUGAUCCACGCUGUGGAAGUCUCACAUCUCCUGAUGUAAUGGAACUUCUGCAGAGUCCUGGUUCCAGAACAUGAUGAUAGAAUUAUAGACAAACUUUAACAAAAGCUGUCUGAGAGUUUACAGGUUUUUAUGUUAGAUUUCUUCAGUAUUUUAAUGAGAGUUAUCAGCAAAAAUCAAGGGUUAAUUUGAUGAACUUGAUUUCCUAAAACAUCCAGAAUUGGAGCUCAUAUCUUUGGCAGCUGUAAAGUUUCUGCUCCUUCAAAGUUCACAACACAAUGAAUUAAUUCCUAAAACACUCUCAAUGCUGGAGAGCGUUUGUGAUGCUGAAGCAGUGAUCAGUUUUUCUGUUUCUUCUCUGGAGAUGCACAAUGAGGGACGUCUGCAGAGACUGAGAAAGAGUCUCACCACAUCCUGACAUGAGGAAAAAGACUUUAUUGAAGACUACAAUGAGAAAAACUAUCAGAUAGCAGACGGCUGCAUUCAAGAGAAGAAGACCAUCAAACAUCCACGUCAGCUGAUGGAGGUCCAAGAGUCUCAUCUAACAACCAACCUACAGAGUGAAGACCUCGAAUCUGAUUGGACGGCCUCCUAUUCAGCCACGCUACAGGAGGAGCCCUAUGAGGACGAGCCGGUCCACCUGAUGGUGGCCAGUCGCUGCGGUUCAAAGCCAACACCGACUACGUGGACUUGUACUGGACCACAUGGAGGCCUUCAAACCGGACCCAACAAGUUCACCGACUCCCCGACUCGUGGGUCUGAGGACGCCGCCGAGCCUCGGUCCAGCCGGCCUCCUGUCUGUGGGUGUUUGAGUGCUGAGAGGGAUUACCACAGACCUGACCGUGAACACCGUUGACACCCACCUGAGGGAGACGCUGCCUGAGAUCUCAAGGCUGCUUGGUCGUGGUCUUUCUGGUCCUGCUCCAGAACGCCUUCAUCAACUACGUCUUCUUCUGAAGAGGCCCUCAGAUGCUGCAAUCUCUAACCUUAAGGAAGAACUGCUAAUUUCACUCUGUAACGAGACGGCGGUUAUUUUAAAGACCCAGCUCCUGGCGGCUUUGAGUGAAAAUAACUGGAGCCUUCAAUUGGCUCCUGCUGGUCAUACUACAACUCUUGGUUUGGUACUAAAUUAAAAAUCUGAAUUUUAAGGAAUUUUUUAGUAAAUAAAAUUCAAUCACUUCACCCUUAAACACUGCAGAAAAAAUAAACUCCAUACCACCAGCAAAAGGGUCCUACUGAUCAUACCUUCAGGUUUUUUCUUCCAAGUAUUGCCCGUACAGUCCUUAACUUGGAAAAUAUUAUUAGCUGUUUAACAUUAUGGUUUAAAUGAAUCAAUUAAUGCUGCAGCCUUGUAAGAAGGCGUCUUAUUGUCUUUCUUCCCAAUGGUCAGUACUUGAGACAGUCUAGUGUAGUUUGGUAUACUGGUGUUAUCUGAUCCUCUCUUUGGUGAGGAUUCCAAGUUCCAUUACUAUUCAGUAUCAUGUAUUUGGACAAACAGUUGCACUGUGGAUCUAAAAAUAUAGUACCACAUACAUCAAAAGAAGAGCCAUCAAAGCUAAUUUACUCAUAAUCCUUAAACUUCACACACAUGCAUGCACACUAAAUAGUGUGCACAACUUCAUAUGGCAACAUACAACCCAAAUAAAAUAAAAUUCAGUUGCUUUCGGUUAUUAAUGUACCACAAUCUACCAAAAAAAUGGAUGAGCACUUUUAUCUGUUAGAACAAAAAAUAUUUGAGAUAUAUAACAACAAUUUCAAUACUAAUAAAAAAAAUCCUUAAAAUCAUAAAAAGAUAAAUAUCAAAUCAAGAGUUGUAGUAUGAUUUUGGUGGCACUACAGUGUAUAAGAGUGAAGUUAUUGAAUUUUAUUACUAAUAAAAUAAUAAAUGAAAAUUUCUGAAAAUUCAGAUUUUGUGUUUAAUGUCAAACUAAGAGUUGUAGUAUGAUCAACAGGAGCCAAUUGAUGGCUCCAGUGAUUUUGGUGACACUACAGUACAUAAGAGUGAAGUGAAGUUAUUGAAUUUUCUUACUAAUAAAAUAAUAAGAAAAUAUUUUUUAAAAAUUGCUUAAAAUUAU